rnacentral:rRNA from 1 species
AUUGAACGCUGGCGGCAGGCCUAACACAUGCAAGUCGAGCGGAUGAGGAAAGCUUGCUUUUCGAUUCAGCGGCGGACGGGUGAGUAAUGCCUAGGAAUCUGCCUGUUAGUGGGGGAUAACUCGGGGAAACUCGGGCUAGUACCGCAUACGUCCUACGGGAGAAAGUGGGGGAUCUUCGGACCUCACGCUAACAGAUGAGCCUAGGUCGGAUUAGCUAGCAGGUGGGGUAAUGGCUCACCUAGGCGACGAUCCGUAACUGGUCUGAGAGGAUGAUCAGUCACACUGGAACUGAGACACGGUCCAGACUCCUACGGGAGGCAGCAGUGGGGAAUAUUGGACAAUGGGCGAAAGCCUGAUCCAGCCAUGCCGCGUGUGUGAAGAAGGUCUUCGGAUUGUAGAGCACUUUAAGUUGGGAGGAAGGGUAUUCACCUAAUACGUGGGUACUUUGACGUUACCAACAGAAUAAGCACCGGCUAACUCUGUGCCAGCCGCCGCCGUAACAC